GCCCGCCUAGCUCAAUCGGAUAGAGCGUCAGACUUUUACGGUCUCUUGGGCGGUGAAUCUGAAGGCUGCGAGUUCGACCCUCGCGGUGGGCU